rnacentral:rRNA from 1 species
AGCGAACGCUGGCGGCAGGCCUAACACAUGCAAGUCGAACGCCCCUUCGGGGGAGUGGCGGACGGGUGAGUAACACGUGGGAACGUACCUUUUGGUUCGGAACAACUGAGGGAAACUUCAGCUAAUACCGGAUAAGCCCUUUUGGGGAAAGAUUUAUCGCCGAAAGAUCGGCCCGCGUUGGAUCAGGUAGUUGGGGGGGUAAAGGCCUACCAAGCCUACGAUCCAUAGCUGGUCUGAGAGGAUGAUCAGCCACACUGGGACUGAGACACGGCCCAGACGCCUACGGGAGGCAGCAGUGGGGAAUCUUGCGCAAUGGUCGAAAGACUGACGCAGCCAUGCCGCGGGAAUGAUGAAGGUCUUAGGAUUGUAAAAUUCUUUUACCGGUGACGAUAAUGACGGUAACCGGAGAAAAAGCCCCGGCUAACUUCGUGCCAGCAGCCGCCGUAA